CCAAUAGCGUAUAUUAAAGUUGUUGCAGUUAAAAAGCUCGUAGUUGAAUUUCGGGAUCAAUAUAUCGGUCGUGCCAUUGGUACGUACUGGUAUCAUUGGUUUCUCCUUUCUGACGAACCAUGAUGUCAUUAAUUUGGUGUUAUGGGAAGUUAGGACUGUUACUUUGAAAAAAUUAGAGUGUUUAAAGCAGGCUUUAGCUUGAAUACAUUAGCAUGGAAUAAUGAAAUAGGACGUUCGAACCUAUUUUGUUGGUUUCUAGGAUCAUCGUAAUGAUUAAUAGGGAUAGUUGGGGGCAUUAGUAUUCAAUUGUCAGAGGUGAAAUUCUUGGAUUUAUUGAAGACUAACUACUGCGAAAGCAUUUGCCAAGGAUGUUUUCAUUAAUCAAGAACGAAAGUUAGGGGAUCGAAGACGAUCAGAUACCGUCGUAGUCUUAACCAUAAACUAUGCCGACUAGGGAUCGGAUGAUGUUAAUUUUUUAAUGACUCAUUCGGCGCCUUACG
rnacentral:misc_RNA from 1 species